rnacentral:lncRNA from 1 species
AUGUUCCGUCUUUCCUUGCUCAGCUUUGAUCCAGGGUUCGGCUCAGGGUUCGGCUCUUUCCCUAGCACAGCUCCCAGUGGACCUGGAGCCAGUGAACGAGGCAAUGAUGGUUUUAGUGAUAUAUCUCCAAGGACUUAUGCAGAUCUAGACAUAGAUCGUCCCUUAACAAAUUUCGAUGAUUCAUUUUCUUCAAUAAUUUUAACAGCUCUAUCACCGAAGAUAAUCUGCCUGCCACACCACCUUCUGCAAUGUACUCUUAUGAUGAAUUAAGAAGGAAGAACAGAGAAGAGUAUGAACAGAGUAGAAUCAAACCUUAUCCCAG